GAUCCUGGCUCAGGAUGAACGCUAGCGGCAGGCCUAACACAUGCAAGUCGAGGGAGAAGCCCUUCGGGGCAGAAACCGGCGCACGGGUGCGUAACGCGUAUGCAACCUACCUUUCACAGGGGGAUAGCCCGAAGAAAUUUGGAUUAAUACCCCAUAAUAUUAUUGGAUGGCAUCAUUUGAUAAUUAAAAUUACGAUGGUGAAAGAUGGGCAUGCGUCCUAUUAGCUAGUUGGAGUGGUAACGGC
rnacentral:rRNA from 1 species